rnacentral:rRNA from 1 species
AUUGAACGCUGGCGGCAUGCCUUACACAUGCAAGUCGAACGGCAGCGGACCUUCGGGUGCCGGCGAGUGGCGAACGGGUGAGUAAUAUAUCGGAACGUACCUUUCAGUGGGGGAUAACGUAGCGAAAGUUACGCUAAUACCGCAUAUUCUGUGAGCAGGAAAGCAGGGGAUCGCAAGACCUUACGCUGAUUGAGCGGCCGAUAUCAGAUUAGCUAGUUGGUGAGGUAAAGGCUCACCAAGGCGACGAUCUGUAGCGGGUCUGAGAGGAUGAUCCGCCACACUGGAACUGAGACACGGGUCCAGACUCCUACGGGGAGGCAGCAGUGGGGAAUUUUGGACAAUGGGCGCAAGCCUGAUCCAGCCAUGCCGCGUGAGUGAAGAAGGCCUU